UAUUGGUCAAUGGGCGCAAGCCUGAACCAGCCAUGCCGCGUGCAGGAAGACGGCUCUAUGAGUUGUAAACUGCUUUUGUACUAGGGUAAUUUGCGGUACGUGUACUGUAUUGAAAGGAUAGUACGAACAAGUAACGGCUAACUCCGUGCCAGCAGCCGAGGUAAUAUGGAGGAUCCAAGCGUUAUCCGGAUUUAUUGGGUUUAAAGGGUGCGUAGGCGGCAGAUUAAGUUAGAGGUGAAAUUCCGAGGCUCAACCUUGGCACUGCCUCUGAUACUGGUUUGCUAGCGAGUAGAUGCUGUAGGCGGAAUGUGUGGUGUAGCGGUGAAAUGCAUAGAGAUCACACAGAACACCGAUUGCGAAGGCAGCUUACAAAUCUAUAUCGGACGCUGAGGCACGAAAGCGUGGGGAGCAA
rnacentral:rRNA from 1 species